rnacentral:rRNA from 1 species
CCCUAGUAACGGCGAGUGAAGCGGGAACAGCUCAAAUUUGAAAUCUGGCCCUUGGGUCCGAGUUGUAAUUUGCAGAGGAUGCUUUUGGUGCGGUGCCUUCCGAGUUCCCUGGAACGGGACGCCUUAGAGGGUGAGAGCCCCGUACGGUUGGCCACCAAGCCUGUGUAAAGCUCCUUCGACGAGUCGAGUAGUUUGGGAAUGCUGCUCAAAAUGGGAGGUAUAUUUCUUCUAAAGCUAAAUACUGGCCAGAGACCGAUAGCGCACAAGUAGAGUGAUCGAAAGAUGAAAAGCACUUUGAAAAGAGGGUUAAAUAGCACGUGAAAUUGUUGAAAGGGAAGGAUUUAUGACCAGACUUUUUCUAGGGGGAUCAUCCGGUGUUCUCACCGGUGCACUUCCCCUAGUGGAGGCCAGCAUCGGUUUCUGUCGGGGGAUAAAAGCUUCAGGAAUGUGGCUCCUUCGGGAGUGUUAUAGCCUGUUGCAUAAUACCCUGACGGGGACCGAGGUUCGCGCAUUGCAAGGAUGCUGGCGUAAUGGUUAUUAAUCACCCGUCUUGAAACACGGACCAAGGAGUCGAACAUUUGUGCGAGUGUUUGGGUGUUAAACCCUCACGCGUAAUGAAAGUGAACGGAGGUGAGAGCCCUUCGGGGUGCAUCAUCGACCGAUCCUGAUGUCUUCGGAUGGAUUUGAGUAAGAGCAUAACUGUUCGGACCCGAAAGAUGGUGAACUAUGCGUGGAUAGGGUGAAGCCAGAGGAAACUCUGGUGGAGGCUCGCAGCGGUUCUGACGUGCAAAUCGAUCGUCAAAUCUGCGCAUGGGGGCGAAAGACUAAUCGAACCAU